GGGGAAUGUGAAAUUAGAUGAUCUGUAGUUCUUUACUCGCUUGACAAGCCAUCCCCCAUCUGGUGUGAUGCUGCUCCAACACCCAACGAGGAGAUAGAGCCUUGCAUUCCUUGCAACAUGUAUGCUUGAUUACGAGCCUGGCAGAGCAGAUCUUCAACCAUGAAAUCUAUCAGGUUGUGCUCUUGCACCUCUCAGCAGACUGGGCUUGACUUCACCUUCUGCUGCAGCCGUGGUGGUCUGACUUGGUCUGCUGAAAGCCUGAAGCAGCACGCUGGCUCUGCCAGCUCCCAAAGCCAGGUGUCCAGGCUUGGCUCUCUGUGUGCUGGCAGAGGGAAGGCUGCAGUCACAGGUCACCAUUUCUCCUUGGCAGCUCCUGACAGGAAUGGCUGGCUGUAGAAGGAGGAGCUGGGAGCUGUGUGAGCCGAGGACGUGCUGAUGAGCCAAAGGGUGCUGCUGGUGCAGGCAGGGAAGACAGAUCGGACUUCACAGCUGGGAAUGAGCCCAGGAGCAUAAAAGACACACAGCAGUCAUGCAGCUCCUCUCCAAAAGGUCCCUGACACAGGGACUGCAAAGGACAGAAUGGAAACGUCCUUCCACCUCUUUUAGAGACUAGAAAUGGGUGGCUGGCCCUAGCCAGGGAGCACCAACAAUGAUGAGAAAG
rnacentral:lncRNA from 12 species